UACGAGGGGGGCAAGGCUUGUUCGGAAUUACUGGGCGUAAAGGGCCAGUAGGCGGCCAACUAAGUCCGACGUGAAAUCCCCAGGCUUAACCUGGGAACUGCGUCGGAUACUGGAUGGCUUGAAUUCGGGAGAGGGAUGCAGAAUUCCAGGUGUAGCGGUGAAAUGCGUAGAUAUCUGGAGGAAUACCGGUGGCGAAGGCGGCAUCCUGGACCGACAUUGACGCUGAAUGGCGAAAGCUAGGGGAGCAAACGGG
rnacentral:rRNA from 1 species